rnacentral:rRNA from 1 species
UACGGAGCAGCAGUGGGGAAUAUUGCACAAUGGGCGCAAGCCUGAUGCAGCCAUGCCGCGUGUAUGAAAAAGGCCUUCGGGUUGUAAAGUACUUUCAGUCGUGAGGAAGGUGUUAAGGUUAAUAACCUUAGCAAUUGACGUUAGCGACAGAAGAAGCACCGGCUAACUCCGUGCCAGCAGCCGCGGUAAUACGGAGGGUGCGAGCGUUAAUCGGAAUUACUGGGCGUAAAGGGCACGCAGGCGGUUAAUUAAGUUGGAUGUGAAAUCCCCGGGCUUAACCUGGGAAUGGCAUUCAAGACUGGUUAGCUAGAGUCUUGUAGAGGGGGUAGAAUUCCGAUGUGUAGCGGUGAAAUGCGUAGAGAUGUGGAGGAAUACCGGUGGCGAAGGCGGCCCCUGGACAAAGACUGACGCUCAUGUGCGAAAGCGUGGGGAGCAAACGAGGGAUUAGAUACC